rfam:Triticum aestivum genome assembly, contig: Triticum_aestivum_CS42_TGACv1_scaffold_078914_1DL
ACCUAACAAAAUUAAGUGAAUACCCAAAAUUGUAGUCAUUUUAUUUCUAUCUUUCCA